UUGGCUCAACUUCCAAUCACAUCCAGCAACAUGGUGCUUCCUUAACAGAACCAAUGGUUAUAUGAUUAUCCAUUAUAAAGGUCUAAAAGUGGUGGCUGCGACUCUUCUUCUAGAGAAGACAGAGAUCAGGUUCCUUCUACAAACAUCCCCAUCUCAAGACUAGAAUUUUUGAAGGAGCUAUUAAGAGAAGCAUCAGUGGGAAAAUAAACAUAAAAACGGAAGACUUCUGUGCAUUGUCAAUGAGGAAUAAUGUAGGAGCUUUGGUCAAACACGUCUUAGAGCCAUCACCAGAAAAGCUCAUGGAAUCAUUGUGGCAUUCGAUGUAACAGACCAAGAGGGCUUCAACAAUGUCAAGAUCAAAUCUGUCGUACGCCAGUGAGAAUAGGAGCAAGCACCGGGUUGGGAUCUCACAUCCCAGAAAGUUGUAUCAACUGAGUCAGCCAACGUAAUAUCGUUUUAUGAUGCUUCACAGUUGAGGUUCUUUGACACACUGGUCUUAAUGAUUUUCUCUUAUGUUUGUUCUUUCAACACAGGAUUAAGCCCAUGAACUUGGGAUCCCAUUCCUGGAAACAAGUGCGAAGAAUGCUACCAAUGUCGGAGAAGCUUUCAUGGCCAUGACUACUGC